ensembl:misc_RNA 7SK 7SK RNA
GGAUCAUCUGGCUGUGACAUCUGUUACCCCAUUGAUUGCCAGGGUUGAUUGGGCUGAUCCAGCUGCCUAACUGUCUUCUUUUUCCCUAUCCACUGAAGCAGCAUGCUGGUGGAGAGCAAUCUUCCUGGACACUGGAGCAUCUUUCUUAGGUCAGAUAUAUGCAGGUAGCUGUGCUCUGCUGCUAGAACCUCCAAACAAGCUCUCAAGGCCCAUUUGUAGGAGAAUAGAGGGCAAUCAAGCUAUGAAGACUUUCAGUUCAGUUCAGUUCAGUCGCUCAGUCGUGUCCAACUCU